GAUGUACUUAUGGAUGUUGCUUAACCUUAUUUGAUUUCACGACAUUGAACUGCACUUUCRAACASCUGGAAGGAAUACAAUGCCAUGAAAUCAAAUAAGGUUAAGCCACAUUGUUGGCCUGCA
rnacentral:pre_miRNA from 1 species